AGAGUUUGAUCCUGGCUCAGGAUGAACGCUGGCGGCGUGCUUAACACAUGCAAGUCGAACGAACCUUCGGGUUAGUGGCGGACGGGUGAGUAACGCGUGAGAAUCUGCCCUCAGGAGGGGGAUAACGGUUGGGAACGACCGCUAAUACCCCAUAUGCCUACUGGUGAAAUGAAUUUCGCCUGAGGAUGAGCUCGCGUCUGAUUAGCUAGUUGGUGAGGUAAUGGCUCACCAAGGCUUCGAUCAGUAGCUGGUCUGAGAGGAUGAUCAGCCACACUGGGACUGAGACACGGCCCAGACUCCUACGGGAGGCAGCAGUGGGGAAUUUUCCGCAAUGGGCGAAAGCCUGACGGAGCAACGCCGCGUGAGGGACGAAGGCCUCUGGGCUGUAAACCUCUUUUCUCAAGGAAGAAGAUAUGACGGUACUUGAGGAAUAAGCCACGGCUAAUUCCGUGCCAGCAGCCGCGGUAAUACGGGAGUGGCAAGCGUUAUCCGGAAUUAUUGGGCGUAAAGCGUCCGCAGGCGGCUUUUCAAGUCUGCUGUUAAAGCGUGGAGCUUAACUCCAUCAUGGCAGUGGAAACUGAAAGGCUUGAGUAUGGUAGGGGCAGAGGGAAUUCCCGGGGUAGCGGUGAAAUGCGUAGAUAUCGGGAAGAACACCAGUGGCGAANGCGCUCUGCUGGGCCAUUACUGACGCUCAUGGACGAAAGCCAGGGGA
rnacentral:rRNA from 1 species